rnacentral:lncRNA from 1 species
ACACAUUAUAUGAAAAUAUAUUCUAUGAUGAAUCUAAUAAUACUAAUUUGAUACUAUAAAUCCUAGCAUUUUUUUCUAAAAAUUUGGUCAAAAUUUAAAAAGUUUGACUUAGGACAACUCUAGAAAUUGACUCUUUCGUGGACGGAGGGAGUAUUUAGGUAAACUUAUUUCUCGGGAAGCGUAAACGACACUUAUUUUGGAACGGAGGGAGUAUGUUCCUUUGUAAGAUUGAAGUUAUAUGUUCCUUUGUAAGAUUGAAGUUACAUGAGCUCUUAGGUUUAAAGCCUCACAAUAUAGGAGCAAAAACAACAACAGUUGCCACUUCACAGUUCUUUUUUUUAAAAAAAAAAAAGCCUGCUACAUAAAGGUACGUAUGAUUCUUCUAUACGUCAAAUCCUAUUUCUCGUAUCGUCAAAUAGCUAACAAAAAUAUUCAAUCAUAGAUUAAAAAAAAUUAAAAAUGAAAGUGUUAAUAGUGUCUAAAUUUAAAAAAAAUUAGAUCUAAAUAAAGCCUCAGUCGUAGGAAGAAUUCUUUUUGCUAGUGCUCAAACUACAUGGUUCAUUGCAGUUAGCCAUGGUGAAAAGACAGUUAACCGCGACAUUCUUCUUUCUUCGAACUUCCUUUUUGGGGGCAAAAAGCUGCUUUAGUGCUGAUAAAGUAUUUUGGCUCACCACGGAUGUCCUGUUAAGGCCUUGUUUAGUUAAAAAAAUAAUUUUUUUUCAAAAUUUUUCGUUACAUUUAAUCUUGCGACAAAUGCAUGAAGUACUAAAUCUAGAUGAAAAUAAAAACUAAUUGUACAGUUUAUUUAUAAGUCGUGAGAUGAAUCUUUUGAGUCUAGUUAGUUCAUGAUUGGACAAUAAUUGUCAAAUAGAAAUGAAAGUGCUACAGUACCUAAAACCAAAAAAAAAAUUUGGAACUAAGAGGAUGUUUGAGACUACUUUACUCUAGUUUUUGUAACUCUGCUCCAUGAGCUCUACCAUAGAACAACUCCGCUGUGGAGUUUGUGGAGCAGCUGUUUGGCACGUAGCUCUGCUCUAGCUCCAAGAAUGAGUUGUUUCCAUACAAAUGGUCCAUUAUGCCCCUGAUCGAAAUUGCUCUUGAUAUUUUUUGACGAAAAUAGAAAUCAAAUGAUGGAGUAUUAAUAAAGGUCAUAAUUAAAAUAUAAAUAAUUAAUAUGGGCGGC